AUAUUUCCGAGGCAAAUUGACCUCUUGGAAACCUAAUUGGGGGUAUUCCCGACGUGUGGGACAACUCUGUUUAAUGUUAUGAAAAGGUUAAGUAUAAGAUCUUGUACAUAGGGCCUAAUUUAGUUUUAUUUUGGGUUUAGGUCGCGGGAGAGGCGUCCUAAAAUCACGAGAGUCAAACUACAUGUCACGCCCCGGAGCCGAUACCAAUUUGGCCGGCCCGAGCACGUCGAACAGACGCCGAACGGACAGAGUUUCCCCUAUCCGCCCAAGGCUCAUCACGUGUACAAUUUCAAGAGAAUUGAAAUGCACUAGCGGAAACAUGCACAAACAGCUUACACGAGGGUAAGCAAUAGCCAUUAGUGAAAGAAAAGAAAACUAAACAUACACAAGUAACAUGAUUCAUUUUAGAUCAUCUACAUUGCACUCUUCCAAAAUCUUUACAUUCUUUCAUCAUUUCUUUUACAUCACAUUUACCGCAAAAUGAACAUUACAUUCUUUUCUUUACUUUGCUUUACACAUCAACAUCUUAAAUCAUCAAAUACAAAGAUGAUAAAAGGGGUAAACUACUAACAAAAUGUAACCCAACUCCGGUGGCCUCUGACUACGGUGCGAUACCUUUACCGCGGUCGCUCGCCGGCUCGCUCGGUCCCGGCUCUGUGGAAUAGUGGGGUGAGAACUACAACAAAGUUCCCAGUGGGUUCGGCC
rnacentral:lncRNA from 1 species